GGACGAACGCUGGUGGCGUGCUUAACACAUGCAAGUGGAGCGACGAACCAGGCUUCGGCCUGGGGCAAAGCCGCGAACGGGUGAGUAACACGUGGGUAACCUGCCCCGAAGACCGGGACAACCCGAGGAAACUCGGGCUAAUACCGGAUGUGGUCACCGUCCAUAAGGACGAUGAGCAAAGGAAGCUUCGGCCUCCGCUUCGGGAGGGGCCCGCGGCCCAUUAGCUUGUUGGUGAGGUAACGGCUCACCAAGGCCGCGAUGGGUAGCUGGUCUGAGAGGACGAUCAGCCACACUGGGACUGAGACACGGCCCAGACUCCUACGGGAGGCAGCAGUGGGGAAUCUUGCGCAAUGCGCGAAAGCGUGACGCAGCAACGCCGCGUGGGGGAAGAAGGCCUUCGGGUCGUAAACCCCUUUCAGGAGGGACGAAGCCUCGGGAGUGAAUAGCUCUCCGGGGUGACGGUACCUCACGAAGAAGCCCCGGCUAACUACGUGCCAGCAGCCGCGGUAAUACGUAGGGGGCCAGCGUUGUCCGGAAUCAUUGGGCGUAAAGCGCGCGUAGGCGGCCAGAUAAGUCCGGUGUGAAAGUCAAAGGCUCAACCUUUGAAUGCCGCUGGAAACUGUCUGGCUUGAGUCCGGGAGGGGCGAGUGGAAUUCCUGGUGUAGCGGUGAAAUGCGCAGAUAUCAGGAGGAACACCAAUGGCGAAGGCAGGUUGCUGGGCUGACACUGACGCUGAUGCGCGAAAGCCAGGGGAGCGAACGGGAUUAGAUACCCCGGUAGUCCUGGCCUUAAACGAUGGAUGCUUGGUGUCUGGAGUUUUAUAGUCUCCGGGUGCCGCAGCUAACGCGUUAAGCAUCCCGCCUGGGGAGUACGGUCGCAAGACUGAAACUCAAAGGAAUUGACGGGGACCCGCGCAAGCGGUGGAGCAUGUGGUUCAAUUCGACGCAACGCGAAGAACCUUACCUGGGCUAGAAUGCCUCUGACACCCGUAGAGAUACGGUCUCCUAGGGAAACCUAGGCAGAGUGCAAGGUGCUGCAUGGCUGUCGUCAGCUCGUGUCGUGAGAUGUUGGGUUAAGUCCCGCAACGAGCGCAACCCUUAUCGAUAGUUGCUAGCGGUUCGGCCGAGCACUCUAUUGAGACUGCCGUUGACAAAACGGAGGAAGGUGGGGAUGACGUCAAGUCCUCAUGGCCUUUAUGUCCAGGGCUACACACGUGCUACAAUGGCAAGUACAAAGCGCUGCAAACUCGCGAGAGGGAGCCAAUCGCAAAAAGCUUGUCUCAGUUCGGAUUGGAGUCUGCAACUCGACUCCAUGAAGCUGAACUCGCUAGUAAUCGCAGAUCAGCACGCUGCGUGAUACUAUCCCGGUCUUGCACACCCCCCUACAGGCGA
rnacentral:rRNA from 1 species